CGCGGCCUAUCAGCUUGUUGGCGGGGUAACGGCCCACCAAGGCUUAGACGGGUAGCUGGCGUGAGAGCGCGACCAGCCACACCGGGACUGAGACACGGCCCGGACUCCUACGGGAGGCAGCAGUAGGGAAUCUUGGACAAUGGGCGAAAGCCUGAUCCAGCGACGCCGCGUGGGGGACGAAGGCCCUCGGGUUGUAAACCCCUGUUGGGAGGAAAGAAGCCGGCCGCAAGGUUGGUGACGGUACCUCUCGAGGAAGCCCCGGCUAACUACGUGCCAGCAGCCGCGGUAAGACGUAGGGGGCGAGCGUUAUCCGGAUUCACUGGGCGUAAAGGGCGCGCAGGCGGCUACGUAAGUCCGGCGUGAAAUCCCAUGGCUUAACUGUGGAACUGCGUCGGAUACUGCGUUGGCUUGAGGAUGGUAGAGGCCAUUAGAACUAGCGGUGUAGCGGUGAAAUGCGCAGAUAUCGCUAGGAAUGCCGGUGGCGAAGGCGGAUGGCUGGGCCACUCCUGACGCUGAGGCGCGAAAGCUAGGGGAGCGAACCGGAUUAGAUACCCGGGUAGUCCUAGCCGUAAACGGUGGGUGCUAGGUGUGGGGAUCGCGAGAUUUCCGUGCCGCAGCUAACGCAUUUA
rnacentral:rRNA from 1 species